rnacentral:rRNA from 1 species
UACGGAGGGGGCUAGCGUUAUUCGGAAUUACUGGGCGUAAAGCGCACGUAGGCGGCUUUGUAAGUAAGAGGUGAAAGCCCGGAGCUCAACUCCGGAACUGCCUUUUAGACUGCAUCGCUUGAAUCCAGGAGAGGUGAGUGGAAUUCCGAGUGUAGAGGUGAAAUUCGUAGAUAUUCGGAAGAACACCAGUGGCGAAGGCGGCUCACUGGACUGGUAUUGACGCUGAGGUGCGAAAGCGUGGGGAGCAAACAGGG